AAAAAAUGAUUGGUUUACUAAAUUAAACCUUUUUUUAUCAGCACCUCACUUGGUCAAUUAAAUCUAAAUUCGUAGCACCCCCAACGUUUCUUUCUAUAUCCAUGACAAACAUCCUCACAUAAAUUGCAGCAGUCAUGCUCUUCCAGCAAGGGAAAAAACACAUGUCACAUGAAAGCUAGAAAAGUAAGAUUGAAAACACACCAUCAAAUAUAAAAUUAAGAACAUGCUUACGUGGUUCAAGGAAGGGAAUAAGAAAAGGACGCACUCAUGGUUCAACAAAAGAGUGUGUCCAACACGUUGAUGAGCAUCCUUACAUGGUUCAAACACUCUUACAUCCUGGAUCUCUCAGAAUGUAAACUGACGCAAUGAUGUUUAUCUUAUUAUCGAGUCCACUAAACCCAAGACUGAAAGUACUUCACUUUUCCUGUUAAGGUUAGUAGC
rnacentral:lncRNA from 1 species